GGGAGUCGCGGUGAAAACAGCGCUGCGGCGAGGCCGCCGCGGACGCCCCGUCGGAUGUGCCCUUCGCGGGAAGCGCUCGUGCCCACCUUGCUCGCAGGUGCCCUUGCUGACCUGGGUGAUGGCCUUCUCCCCGCGGCUCUCGGCCCUCUGGCUGGCGGCGCGCAGCUGGCAGCCGCUGGGGGGUCUGUUCUAAGAACUUACAAGCAUUAAGGAAAAAAAUUAUCUUCAAACAUCAUUUGAAGCUUACCUCUGGAAAGCACUUCCUGACCCACAAACUAGGUUGGGUUUAUGUGCUAUAAGCUCUCACAGGACCAUGUUUCUUUCACUAGGGCAUUUUUAUCAGUGUGGAAAUGGAUGUGGACGCAGUGCUGCUGCCUGAGAUUAGCAGGAAGCAAUUCUUUUCCCAUUUGGAGAGACCCCAGUGAGACCUGAUCAACUAGCAACAUGUGGAAGCCACACCAUUAAAUCUUUCAAUUUGCUAGCAGCAAAUCAAUGAACUCUGAUAGCUGCUGCCCUAAGCUAGCAUCCAGGGAACUGUGGACAAGCUAUUUGAUACCUGAAUUUUAGUGAAGGAAAGUUAAUUUUUUUCUUAAAGCAGGACAGGAGUGGGGUUGUGCAGGAAGAUUAUAUUAAGUAGUGAGAGAAGAUAGCUGGAGUUUUGUAAAAAGAGAGCUGGUUGUUGUAAAUUGUAUCUUUACUUAAAUUUAUUGAAGAUUUAUUGGUAAUUAGUGUUUUGUUGUGUGUUUAUUGUGUUUAUGGCAACCAAUUAAUAAGAAAGGCUUUUGUUUUUAUUUCAUUAAUUGGAGCUGAACUUUAUUUUUUAUUAUAAAUAUAAGGCAUUAUUCUAGGGCCUGGCAAACAUAGGCAGCCCCCCCUUUUUCUGAGCAAGAUUAUAUCUUGGUAUGUUUUCACCACCAUGAGAUGAAAAUUUGAGAACACCAAGAGACAGAUACUUGCCUGAGGAGUUUUAUUUUCCCUUUAAUCCUUAUCAGAUGCAGAUAUUACCUAUAUUGCCUUCACUUGCUGUCUGAAGGCUUUGUCAGGCCAGGAGAUGGUUUUGCAGCAGCAGAUGACUAUAAACCAGGCUUUGGGAAAUAGGAUCUCUGGUAUGUUCUGGCUAUCCACACUGUGAAAGAGGACCGUGACAGAGAAUUUGGGUAUCCUGCCAAAAUACCUGCAAAAGAAUGACAGAGGAUUUGGAGUCAAGGGAAAACAAGGAUAAUAAAAUAGAUGCUUGCCACCUCCUCUCACACAGUUUCUAGAAGAGGACUGCACAUUUGGUUCUAAGUUUCUGGAAGAUAAAGCAAAAAUAGAAACACAACUAAUUAUAAAAUUUUGGUGUAUAUAUAAAAUAAAAACAAAUGAACUGUU